GGCUGCGUGGUGGGCGCAGAGCGAACUAUUCUUUCGCCUUUUACUAAAGAAUACCGUGUGCCCGCCACAAAAAGCAGCUUACGCCAAUUUUUUUGAAGGGUUUUCUCUUAUGGAGAUU